rnacentral:rRNA from 1 species
ACUCCUACGGGAGGCAGCAGUGGGGAAUAUUGCACAAUGGGCGCAAGCCUGAUGCAGCCAUGCCGCGUGUAUGAAGAAGGCCUUCGGGUUGUAAAGUACUUUCAGCAGUGAGGAAGGUGGGGUAUGUUAAUAGCAUAUUCAUUUGACGUAGCUGCAGAAAGAAGCACCGGGCUAACUCCGUGCCAGCAGCCGCGGUAAUACGGAGGGUGCGAGCGUUAAUCGGAAUUACUGGGCGUAAAGCGCAUGCAGGUGGUUUGUUAAGUCAGAUGUGAAAGCCCGGGGCUCAACCUCGGAAUUGCAUUUGAAACUGGCAAAACUAGAGUACUGUAGAGGGGGGUAGAAUUUCAGGUGUAGCGGUGAAAUGCGUAGAGAUCUGAAGGAAUACCGGUGGCGAAGGCGGCCCCCUGGACAGAUACUGACACUCAGAUGCGAAAGCGUGGGGAGCAAACAGGAUUAGAUACCCUGGUAGGAUAGCGU